AAUCAACGCUGGCGGCGUGCCUCAGACAUGCAAGUCGAACGCGAAAGUCCCCUUCGGGGGACAAGUAGAGUGGCGCACGGGUGAGUAACACGUAGGUAAUCUACCUUCGGAUGGGGAAUAACAACCGGAAACGGGUUGCUAAUACCGCAUAAUGCAGCGGCACCUAAUGGUGACAGUUGUUAAAGCGGGGGAUCGAAAGACCUCGCGUCUGAAGAGGAGCCUGCGGCGGAUUAGCAGUUGGUAAGGUAACGGCUUACCAAGGCGACGAUCCGUAGCCGGCCUGAGAGGGCGGUCGGCCACACUGACACUGACAUACGGGUCAGACUCCUACGGGAGGCAGCAGUCGGGAAUUUUGGGCAAUGGGCGAAAGCCUGACCCAGCAACGCCGCGUGAAGGAUGAAA
rnacentral:rRNA from 1 species